rnacentral:antisense_RNA from 1 species
AUUAUGCAAGCAGCUAGAUUAAGGGCUGGUAUAUUGCAGAUUUUUGGGCUCAAAAUCAUCAGAAAUGUGCCCUAUGGAGGCUUUCAAGGCCUUCCUUAGAAUUUCAAGGGCCACCAUGGCUCACCAGUAGUGUUACGGUGCAACGGGGGCUCUGCAGUUUGGACUCUCCUAUCUAGAAGGCUCAGCAGGUCAUUCUGCCAAUACCCCUGCAUUCCACAUCCUUGGGGACCAUGUCUGGAUGGCUCUGAUGUGUCCCAUCUUAGUGGAACAGCACCACAAGGCGUCCUUCCUUCGCUGUAAGGAAGCCAGAGAGACCUCUGAAGUCUUCUCGCCAUCCCUGGUUCAUCCAUGGGAAGGUUUGUGACCACAGGGUAGCCUUUCUCUCUCUUGGGACUUCGAGACUUUGGCAGAAUAAUGUGAGGAUGAAAUAAAUGAUUGGUGUUUGUUUGGUGGUAGCACUGGAACAGAUGGUGAAGGAACUAUUAUGCCUGAUCUAAAGAUAGCUGGUUCCUGUCUGUUCCCAGCCUAGUUCUUUAAAACUUCCCUUCAAAUCCUUGAACCCCCCAACAUCCUUUCCAUACAUUAUCUUUCUUCAUGGGCUUGCAAGAGUAGGUGGCUUGUAACAAAACCACCUCAGCUAAUGUGGGUCCAUGAUGCCAAUCACCUCAUUCUAAUUGUAGUGGCAGCAGAUAUAACUCUGGGAUUUAGAGACUAAGGCUUCUACACAAAUGACAUGGUAUUUGGCACAUUCUAAGGGACAAGGCUCAUGUUCAGGGAUGGGGCCUACUGAUCUGUAUGGAAAUGACAACUCAUGCCUGCAAAAUGGAAAAUCAAUAAAAAUUAUUCUGCGAUCUCACAAAAAGUUCCCAAAUUUUCUAGAGCUAUCCAGGAAUUUCUCUGGGAAGGAGCAAAGAUAAGGCUGGCUCCGCUCUGUCAGGCAGCAGCUGUAAUAAUGAGCCAACAGCUUCAGCUCAUCUGUCAUUUGGGCCAGGAGCACUGCCAAGUUUCUAAAGAAUUUCAUGUUUUCUUUUCCCAGAGGUAAAGAGUGGAACUGACCAGACUCCAUCUAGUAGUCUUAGGCAUAUACUAAGGAAUGUUGAAACCCAUGCCUCACACAGUUUAAUGAUGGCCAAAGACAGGCCUGGCCAGGGUUGGCUUAAAUAAAGAUGGGGACUCUAGAGUUGGGAUUUCUGAGGCUGGAAGAACAGGUAAAGGUCUAAAAUUCUAGGAGAUAAACCCAAAGAAACACCAAAUAUGUGGAGUCAAUGCAGGUGUAGAAAGCUUGCCACAGGUGUUCAGAGAUAAGAGCAAAGGCAAGUGAGCCAGGAGCAGUGAGGCAGCAGGGAGCCCUUGCUGAGUGACUGCCCGGAACAUCCAGUUGUCACUUGCAACUGAUUUUUGCAGGUUAGUCCAUCUCUUGUGCCUAGAUGGAUUCAGAGUCAUGAACAGAGCAGACAAAAGAGACAGUAAAAGCAAGAAAUAUAGAUUCUGGGUGAAUCUUCAGCAACACAGGCCCCUAUGAAGGAAACCAUCUGAGCAAUGGCCUGGUGGCCCUUCACUACUGUGAAACAGUCUAGACAUGAGUCCAGUGAGCUGGGGGCUCUGACACCAAUCAGCUCUGUGACCGUGUCUUAUAAUCAUUGGGCCUCAGUUUUAUCUUCUGAGAAUAUCUCCUCCACCUACUUUGUAGGGUUAUUGCAAAGAUCAGAUACAUCAUAAAAAUGUCAGAAAUCAUAAGAAAUCUGAAAAUGCUGCAGAAACCUAAGAGCAUCGUCAAGAUUUUCUCUCUUCUCUCUCUUUUUUUUUUUUUUUUUUGAGAUGGAGUCUUGCUCUGUUGCCCAGGUUGGAGUGCAGUGGCGCGAUCUCAGCUCACUGCAACCUCCACCUCCUGGGUUCAAGCGAUUCUCAUGCCUCAGCCUCCUGAGUAAGCUGGGACUACAGGUGCACACCACCAUGCCUGGCUAAUUUUUGUGUUUUAGUAGAGACGGGGUUUUGCCAUGCUGGCGAGUCUGGUCUCGAAGUCUUCACCUCAAGUGAUCCUCCCACCUUGGCCUCCCAAAGUGCUGGGAUUACAGGCGUGAACCACCGUGCCCAGCCUAGAUCUUCUCUUUUAAAUUGAAAAACUAAUGUUUUUUUAUUUGCCAGUCUUGUCUGCAGAGUUCAAAGUUUUCAAAAAGCAUUAUUUUCUUGAGAGAAACUGACAUUUCACAGACCUCUGUUAGGAAAUCAAUUGAAGAGGCCAGCAAACUUGCUAUUUUUAAUGUGGGAAGUGAGCUAACGCACCUGACUCCCUACAGCCAUCGCUGUGACUUAAAGAGAAAAUGCUCUUCGGUUGUAGGUUAUGGCUUUUCUAGUGGCUGUUACAAAGGGAGUCCCUCCAACUGAGCCACAUCAGCUCUAAAACACAGUGAUAUCUGGGGUGUGUUCAGUGGAUAGAGCCAUUGUGAACCCCAGAGCUCUGUGGACACUAAUUGGGUUUCGUUUUGUCAUUGAAUUUAGUCUGGAUUCCGGAUUUAAUGUUGAGAGCACCGUCCUUGCAUGGUACCUCUAAACAGACAAAAACAGCUAGAAUAUUGUAGCAAUAAUAUCUUAUAUUUACUAAGGGUUUUUAAUUUUACAAAGCAGUUUUACAUUUUUUCUGCCUGGGUAACUCUCAAGCUACAAAUAAGCUAUGCGCCACAAAUUUGACUCUAAAUUGGUUAUUGCCAUUCAGAAUGCAUUUCCCCAGUUCAAGUGUGGUCAGUUAACUGUUUGAGUUCUGGGUCCUGGGGCAGGACACAAUGUGGUCAAGGAGUGAAGAAGAGAAAGAAGAAGAACAUCUCCUCCUUCCCUCUUGUACACAUCCGAAGCUUGGUGAAAAAAAUUCAAAUGGAAACAGUCUUCAGAAUCUUCCUUUAACCAUUCCUGAGCCCUUCUGUUGUCUCCCCAACCCUUUCUUUCCAGGCUCCUGUGCACAGACCUUACACAAACUCCAUCCCUGGGAUGGUGCAGAAGGCCUCUGGCCAUCAAGCCUGCUCCCCCCAACAUGUAUGUGAAAAACAGCCCUGUGACACUGCUUCCCAAUUUGAAUCCUUCAGACUGGCUGCUGCCAUCUCCAUCCUACAUGUGGUUGCCUUUGUAUUACUGUUUGCACUUUGUACUACUGUUAGUGUAACUUCUCCACAUCCAACUGUAGACCCCACUGAGAUCAAGGACUAAGCCAUAUUCAUCUUUGCAAACUUCCCUCUUGAUUCCUUUUUCAGUCACAGCUCAGAGCACAGUGAUUUGCUAAUUAUUAAAAAUAUUGACAUAAAAAUAAAAAUAAAUAUAUCCCCU